rnacentral:rRNA from 1 species
UACGUAGGGGGCAAGCGUUGUCCGGAAUCAUUGGGCGUAAAGAGCGCGUAGGCGGCCCUGUAAGUCCGCUGUGAAAGUCAAGGGCUCAACCCUUGGAUGCCGGUGGAUACUGCAGGGCUAGAGUCCGGAAGAGGCGAGUGGAAUUCCUGGUGUAGCGGUGAAAUGCGCAGAUAUCAGGAGGAACACCUAUAGCGAAGGCAGCUUGCUGGGACGACACUGACGCUAAGGCGCGAAAGCGUGGGGAGCGAACAGG